UACGUAGGGUGCAAGCGUUAAUCGGAAUUACUGGGCGUAAAGCGUGCGCAGGCGGUUUUGUAAGUCUGUCGUGAAAUCCCCGGGCUCAACCUGGGAAUUGCGAUGGAGACUGCAAAGCUAGAAUCUGGCAGAGGGGGGUAGAAUUCCACGUGUAGCAGUGAAAUGCGUAGAGAUGUGGAGGAACACCGAUGGCGAAGGCAGCCCCCUGGGUCAAGAUUGACGCUCAUGCACGAAAGCGUGGGGAGCAAACAGG
rnacentral:rRNA from 1 species